GCGACACCUCGGCCCCCGCCAACCUGCAGGCGGAGGUGGGGGGGAGGAGGGGGAUGCAAAUGGCGUCUCGCGUCGCACCACACUCUGCACGGCUCCCGCUGCCUCAACUCCCAGUAGACUUCGCAGCGGGGCCAAGCGCCGCCACUCGGGGGACGCGAAAACGCUGGCCGCCCGCGCCCCUCUGGAAAACGAACUAGCACCACUCCCCGUGCCCAAGCCAUUAUUUCCCUGCCCCCCACCACCGGAAGAACUGCCCUUCCCCGAUGAGAGGUGGGGUGGCAAACUUUGUGCGAGGACCGUGCCGCCCCUCUUCCGCGUGGCGUCCGAGAGGAACAUGGGUGGGUUUCACAUCAGAGGCCUGACCACACCCUCCCACUUAUCUAGGCCUCGGACCUCAACCGCGUGGACUACGCAGCAGAGGGAAACACUUCAGGCCACUCCGGGAGGGGGGCACCGAAGUCAGGCGUCCUCAAGCGCUCUGGCUGCUGACCAAGUUCGUGUUCUUUCCAUCCCACGCCGGAGUAGCGCUCGCUACUUCGGGGAAGCGUGAAACUCCUCAUUCCCGGCCACGAGGCCACCCCUGUCUUUAAGGUAGGGCCGGUGGUCUCCCUACAGCACCCUCUCCCGCUCCGCGGUCCCCGCACAGCUCACACAGCCCCGGGGCGUCCCCAGAGAUGGCCUGAGCCUUUCCUUCCGGGGGAGAAGGAGGUGUGUAGGUCGUGUGCAUCACGACUCCAGCCGGCGCCCUCCGCGGAGCCAUCGCGGCAGCCCUCCCCUCCCGGAGUCGCCCUGCGGGAUGCAGCCUCCCCCGCGCGUAAUGGGGCACCCCUGGGACGCAGACAGGGAUGGCGGUUCCGGUCGUUCCGGGAUUUGCGUGCAAAGACGAAAACAAGGCCAGCGACUACAGGAGCGGUGCCUCCAUUCUCGGGGUUCAGACGACCGUGCAGUCUCCGCGUCGGUCCCGCUAUCGCCACUCUUGCCUGGGGGGACCCACUCCCGUGCCCCCCCACGCCACCACCCCUCCCCCACAGCGAUCUCCCGUCCCGCCCGUGCGGCACCACGCGGAGCUCCGAGCACGCUGGCUCCAACCCCAGUCCCUCCAUAACUCGCGCGCCUCCCUCGCCCCAGGCUCGGGACGCCACUCGCUCAGCGGCCCGAGUACGCCGGUUCCAUCCUCGGCUGCGAAAGCCGCCGCCCCGUGCCACCCCCGUCCGGCCCGGCCCUUGUCCCAGCCCGGCUUCCCCGCCAGCUGCGCCGCCACCGCCGCACGUGACCCGCCCCCGUCGCGGCUUCCGCUGAGCUGCCUGUUCCGGAGCACAAACAAUUUCUGCUCUGACGCGGGGUCUCUCGGGCCCCGGCGUCCUCUCCUCCCUGCUUCCCCCCCUUCCGGGUACGAGAACUCAAAACAACUCGCUGACCUUCGGGCCGACCAGCUCCGGCUUCCACCGACUCCGGCAUUCCGUUCAAACCCGGCAGCCGCGGCUUCUAAGAUUUCACUCCGCGCUGGGCUGGGGGGAGGGGGUGAUUUCUCCGGGAGGGGGUGUCUCAGAUCGAAAGAGCCACUUCGCGCUCAUUCCUCUCCUCUCAAACCACAUAAGGAACACCAUGAUCGUACAUCUGUGCAGCUUGUUUCAGAGUCCCAGCCCUCACCAGCUGUGAGGUCACAUCUCUUGGAAGGCAGUCAUCUACCUCAACCAACAGCUUGGAGAUGGCUGGGCAGUAGGACCACAUCUGCCAUUUGA
rnacentral:lncRNA from 1 species